CCUACGGGAGGCUGCAGUGAGGAAUCUUGGUCAAUGGCCGGAAGGCUGAACCAGCCAUGCCGCGUGAAGGUCAGUGCCCUAUGGGCGUUAAACUUCUUUUGUGCGGGAGCAAUAAUGGUCACGUGUGGCCAGACGAGAGUACCGUACGAAUAAGCAUCGGCUAACUCCGUGCAAGCAGCCGCGGUAAUAAGGGGGAUGCAAGCGUUAUCUGGAUUUAUUGGGUUUAAAGGGUGCGUAGGCUGUGAGGUAAGUCAGCGGUGAAAUGCCCCCGCUCAACGGGGUGAAGUGCCAUUGAUACUGCCUUGCUGGAAUGCGGAUGCGGUGAGAGGAAUGUGUGGUGUAGCGGUGAAAUGCAUAGAUAUCACACAGAACACCGAUUGCGAAGGCAUCUCACGAAUCCACGAUUGACGCUGAUGCACGAAAGCGUGGGUAUCAAACAGGAUUAGAUACCCCAGUAGUC
rnacentral:rRNA from 1 species